rnacentral:misc_RNA from 1 species
AUCUCAAACUAGUUGGAGUUGGCUAAAUGGGUAUAUUUCUUCCAUGCCACUGGUUUUAUGGUUACAUCUUUAAAAUAAACUAUUAAUGUUAUAUACUGUUCCUUAGUUUCUUGUUUUAUAUGAUUCUGAUUUUAGACUUCAAAAUAAAAAAUACUUGCUGAUCAGUUCAGGUUGUGUCACUGUUCCUGAGAUUGUCUGCUUAUCCUAACACAUGCAGAUGACAAUAUGAUAUACUAUGCAAGAGGAUCAUAAACAACUUCAUGCAUGUGAAAGUGUCCUAGAUUCAAUUAAGAGCACAGGAUGGGUCAUUUACCCUUUCUCAUCAUUGAUGUGAUGUGCAUGUGCUGCUGUCAUUGUUGCAUGAUUGGGCAUUUAAUGUUAGGUAUUUUGGAUAAUAGUUUGAGUAGAUGCUGCCGAUCCUGGUGUGGAUAUAGACUUAUCAAAUAUAAAUUAGGAUGU